rnacentral:tRNA from 1 species
GGUAGACGCUACGGACUAAAAUCCGUUGGCUUUUAAGACCGUGAGGGUUCAAGUCCCUCUACCCCCA